rnacentral:rRNA from 1 species
GAUGAACGCUGGCGGCGUGCCUAAUACAUGCAAGUCGAGCGAACGGACGAGAAGCUUGCUUCUCUGAUGUUAGCGGCGGACGGGUGAGUAACACGUGGAUAACCUACCUAUAAGACUGGGAUAACUUCGGGAAACCGGAGCUAAUACCGGAUAAUAUUUUGAACCGCAUGGUUCAAAAGUGAAAGACGGUCUUGCUGUCACUUAUAGAUGGAUCCGCGCUGCAUUAGCUAGUUGGUAAGGUAACGGCUUACCAAGGCAACGAUGCAUAGCCGACCUGAGAGGGGGAUCGGCAACACUGGAACUGAGACACGGACCAGACUCCUACGGGAGGCAGCAGAAGGGAAUCUUCCGCAAUGGGCGAAAGCCUGACGGAGCAACGCCGCGUGAGAGAUGAAGGUCUUCGGAUCGUAAAACUCUGUUAUUAGGGAAGAACAGAUGUGGAAGUAACUGUGCACAUCUUGACGGUACCUAAUCAGAAAGCCACGGCUAACUACGUG